rnacentral:sRNA from 1 species
CGAUAAAAAAAGACCCGGAACGUCCUGUUCCGGGUUCAGGGAAAAGGCUCAAGGAGCCAUAUGCCAAUAUUUAGGUUGUGAUUACUAAAGUGUAGUCUAUCAAUAACGACAUGCCAGUUU